rnacentral:tRNA from 1 species
GGGGAUAUAGUUUAUUGGUAGAAUGCUUGUCUGGCAUGCACAAAGCCCUGGGUUCAAUCUCCAGUAUCAAUA